UCAGACUGGGAUGUGAGCUAAAGAAGGCU
rnacentral:piRNA from 1 species